UGUCAUGGAUGCAUCCAGGGUGACUCC
rnacentral:sRNA from 1 species